GACGAACGCUGGCGGCGUGCUUAACACAUGCAAGUCGAACGGAAAGGCCCUGCUUUUGUGGGGUGCUCGAGUGGCGAACGGGUGAGUAACACGUGAGUAACCUGCCCUUGACUUUGGGAUAACUUCAGGAAACUGGGGCUAAUACCGGAUAGGAGCUCCUGCUGCAUGGUGGGGGUUGGAAAGUUUCGGCGGUUGGGGAUGGACUCGCGGCUUAUCAGCUUGUUGGUGGGGUAGUGACUUACCAAGGCUUUGACGGGUAGCCGGCCUGAGAGGUUGACCGGCCACAUUGGGACUGAGAUACGGCCCAGACUCCUACGGGAGGCAGCAGUGGGGAAUAUUGCACAAUGGGCGGAAGCCUGAUGCAGCAACGCCGCGUGCGGGAUGACGGCCUUCGGGUUGUAAACCGCUUUCGCCUGUGACGAAGCGUGAGUGACGGUAAUGGGUAAAGAAGCACCGGCUAACUACGUG
rnacentral:rRNA from 1 species